rnacentral:siRNA from 1 species
GAGAAUCUUGAUGAUGCUGCAG